ACGGCUCAGUAACACGUGAAUAACCUGCCCAAGGGUCCGGGAUAACCCCGGGAAACUGGGGAUAAUACCGGAUGGAUCACUUAUGCUGGAAUGCUUGGUGGUCGAAAGGUGACGCCCUUGGAUGGGUCUGCGGCGGAUUAGGUUGACGCCGGUGUAACGUACCGGCGUGCCUGUAAUCCGUACGGGUUGUGGGAGCAAGAGACCGGAGAUGGAUUCUGAGACACGAAUCCAGGCCCUACGGGGCGCAGCAGGCGCGAAAACUCUACAAUGCAGGCAACUGCGAUAGGGGGACAUCGAGUGGCAUCCACCUUGGGUGCCUGUCCCACCGUCUAAAAAACGGUGGUUAGCAAGGGCCGGGCAAGACCGGUGCCAGCCGCCGCGGUAAUACCGGCGGCUCGAGUGGUGGCCGAUAUUAUUGAGUCUAAAGGGUCCGUAGCCGGCUUUGCAAGUCCCCUGGGAAAUCCAGCGGCUUAACCGUUGGGCUUUCAUGGGAUACUACAUUGCUUGGGACUGGGAGAGGUAGGAGGUACUCGGGGGGUAGGGGUGAAAUCCUGUAAUCCCCCGGGGACCACCGGUGGCGAAGGCGUCCUACCAGAACAGGUCCGACGGUGAGGGACGAAAGCUAGGGGCACGAACCGGAUUAGAUACCCGGGUAGUCCUAGCCGUAAACGAUGCCCGCUAGGUGUCACGGCGGUCGUGAAUCGCCGUGGUGCCGUAGGGAAGCCGCGAAGCGGGCCACUUGGGAAGUACGGCCGCAAGGCUGAAACUUAAAGGAAUUGGCGGGGGAGCAC
rnacentral:rRNA from 1 species